rnacentral:rRNA from 1 species
GAUGAACGCUGGCGGCGUGCCUAAUACAUGCAAGUCGAGCUAACAGUUGAGUAGCUUGCUCCUCUGACGUUUGCGGCGUACUGGUGAGUAACACGUGGAUAACCUACCUCUAAGACUGGGAUAACUUCGGGAAACCGUAGCUAAUACCGGUUUAUAUAUUGAUUCUCAUGGUUCAAUUGUUAACGACGGUUUUGCUUUCUCUUUUCGAUGGUUCCGUGCCGCUUUACCUUGUUGUUAAGGUAAAGGCUUUCCAAGGCAACCAUGCGUAGCCGAACUGAUAGGGUGAUGGGAAACAAUGGAACUUAGAAACGGUACAGACACCAAAGGGAGGCAGGAGUAGGGUAUCUUCCGCAAUAGGGAAAAGCAUGACGGAGAAACGACGCGUGAGUGACAAGAGUCUACGGAUCGUAAAACACUGUUAUUAGGGAAGAACAAAUGUGUAAGUAACUAUGCACGUAUUGACGGUACCUAAUCAGAAAGCCACGACUAACUACGUG